UUGCAAGCAACACUCUGUGUCAGAUGAA
rnacentral:piRNA from 1 species